GCGCGGUUAGUUCACUGGUAGAACGCUCGCUUCACAUGCGAGAAGUAAUAGGUCCGAUUCCUAUACCGCGCA
rnacentral:tRNA from 1 species